ACAGACUCUCUAUCAAUGUCUUUGUCUGCUAAAGAUAUUUCCCAGCUUUUAUUUUUAUUGGCCAUAUGUACAUUUCCAAGGCUGAAAUAAAUGAAUUACAGCAGUUUGGAUUUCUACAAAAACAUCCUGUCUCAGCGGUCCACGGGGCUCUGCUGGAUCCUGAGAGAUAAUAAAGUCCAUGAAAAAAGUCUGGCUGGGGUGCCAUUUCCCUACCUAGACUUCAGCAUCCAGGCCAGAGGAUGACAACUCAUCCCAACCAGCAGCUCUUGGCACUUGAAACCAUGUACCAGGUUCAGAAGCUCCUGCUAGUUUUAACUGACCUUUCCAAACACGCUUGCAUGAUUCUGCCACAAAAAGGAGAAGGGGAACAACCCUGUGAGAAGGUCUGGCCACCCCAGCAAGCUCCGCAGACAGCCCUGUUCUCAGCAGUGGGUUCAUUCUACUGCCCCAGGAGGUGAUAAAAGCAAGUUACUUUUGCUUAUGAACAGGCUAAAAGGAGUGUCUAUCCAUGUUUUAACACAGAAUUUUUAAAUUAAGGAAAAUGUGCAUACAGGUAUUACUCAAUUCCCUGGUAUUAAUCCAACUGUGAUCUUUCACUC